AUUGAACGCUGGCGGCAGGCCUAACACAUGCAAGUCGAACGGUAACAGGAAGCAGCUUGCUGCUUUGCUGACGAGUGGCGGACGGGUGAGUAAUGUCUGGGAAACUGCCCGAUGGAGGGGGAUAACUACUGGAAACGGUAGCUAAUACCGCAUAACGUCGCAAGACCAAAGAGGGGGACCUUAGGGCCCUUUGCAUUCGGCUUUGCCCCGAUGGGAUUAGCUAGUAGGUGGGGUAACGGCUCACCUCGGCGACGAUCCCUAGCUGGUCUGAGAGGAUGACCAGCCACACUGGAACUGAGACACGGUCCAGACUCCUACGGGAGGCAGCAGUGGGGAAUAUUGCACAAUGGGCGCAAGCCUGAUGCAGCCAUGCCGCGUGUAUGAAGAAGGCCUUCGGGUUGUAAAGUACUUUCAGCGGGGAGGAAGGGAGUAAAGUUAAUACCUUUGCUCAUUGACGUUACCCGCAGAAGAAGCACCGGCUAACUCCGUG
rnacentral:rRNA from 1 species